CAGCAGCCGCGGUAAUACGAGGGGGGCAAGCGUUGUUCGGAAUUAUUGGGCGUAAAGCGUGCGUAGGCGGCUUCUUAAGUCGGAUGUGAAAUCCCUGAGCUUAACUUAGGAAUUGCAUUCGAUACUGGGAAGCUAGAGUAUGGGAGAGGAUGGUAGAAUUCCAGGUGUAGCGGUGAAAUGCGUAGAGAUCUGGAGGAAUACCGAUGGCGAAGGCAGCCAUCUGGCCUAAUACUGACGCUGAGGUACGAAAGCAUGGGGAGCAAACAGGAUUAGAUACCCGAGUAGUCCCUGUCUCUUAUAC
rnacentral:rRNA from 1 species